rnacentral:lncRNA from 10 species
GCGGCUUCACCUCCCCGUUCUCCUCCCGGGAGGCCCCGCCGGCCUCUCGGGCCCCACCGAGACCGUGCCUCCUCCUCUCCUUCUCCCGCUUCUCCUUAGGUCUGCGCGACUUGGCGUUAGCCGAGGCAGCGGCGGCGGCGGCGGGCAGGAGGAGAUGGUGAGGCUGAGCGUGCAGCAGCGUAGGAGGGACCAGCAGUUUGCGCGGCACCGGCUGAGACAAGGAAGCGGAGGCUGAGGAGGGAACGGCCGUGCCAGCGGAGAAAGAGAAACUGCUCCGAGAAGAGGACGGGGAGGGAGCAGCAGACAGAGGGGCAAAGCUCCAAGACGCGGGGCUGCCAUAGCUCUGAGGCGAAGGUGCUGCCGGCGGCUGCAGCUGCCUGCUGUUCCCGCCGCUGCCCCCUUCUCCGUUCACUCUCCGCGGUGCCUUCUUCUCCUCAGUCCGGACCUUCUUGGCGGACAGAGAACCCGGAGGGUCCCGGGAGGAGAGUUGCAGCUUGCCAAACGGUUCUUUCUCCGAGACGGUGGCGGUGGGGGCCGCGGCAGCGACACAGUGCACGGGGCUCGGCGGUUCCGCCAUUUUGCGCUCCUGUUGUAUUUACUCUCCUCCGCUAGCCGGCGCGGGGCAGGGGGCGGGCCCUCCGCGAGGGGUAGGGAAGGGGCGGAGCGGCCAGGCCACCAGCCGGCAUUGCUCCAUUGGGCAAGCCACGCUGAGGGAUCCACCUAAGAGCCAAUCAAAGGCACAAACAUCAGACGAAGGGGCGGGAUCGCCACAGGGACCCUCUUCGGAGGUCAGAGCUCGGCGGGGUGCGGCUAGUGGCGGAGCGCGCUGCGAGGGGAGGGCUUUCCACUGUCGCUGGCGUGAACUCGCGUGCCCGGUGGGUAUCAGGGAAGAACCCCCGCCCCGGACCCCCAGAUCUGCCAUGGCCGAGGUAGCGAUCGUCUCUGCGGCCACGAAGACUGUUUUAACUUGUACCACUUUCCCUUCCAUUUUUCCUGGGGUGCCUCUCACCCUGCAUCUGCGCGUUCAGCAAGCUGGAUUUCGGGAAUGCUCAGUUCAGAAGAGAAAAAAUUGCCGGGAAUCAAGUCCUUCUUUUUGUUAGUCGGUAGUCGAUUGAUGGGAAGUGUUCAAAAUCAUUCGAUGUGGUGACAAGGCUUCACCAGGUACUGCCUUCUAACGAGCUGGCCAUUUCCACAUGUCAGAUAGGACCAACUUGCCUUUUAACUACCCGUGUGAUACUUAAACACUGUUGCCGGUAUCACAGCUUUUCUUCAAAACAGGGCAGUCAGUGAAGGCUCCCCAGGGGAGAUGACGUUUGAGCCGAGUUUCAGAAGAUGAUUGGAGUUUACCACGUGUUCACAGGAAGCAACGAGAAUGAGGGCAUUCCAGUAGCAGGAGACAGCAUGCAUAGAGAUGCUGAUGAAGAAAGAGCCUAGCGCACGUGGGAAACUGCAAAAGUUCAGACUGGUUGGAAUGCUGGAAAUGUUGUGAAUGACAGGAGAUGAGGCUGGCGAGAAAACAGAGAGUCUCACUCUGUCACCCAGGUGGAAGUACAGUGGUGCACUCUCGGCUUGCUUCCCAGGCUCAAGUGAUUCUCAUGCCUCAGCCGCCCAACUACCUGGGACUACAGGCGUGCGCCACCAUGCCUGGAUAAUUUUUGUAUUUUUUAGUAGAGACGGGGUUUCACCAUGUUGGCCAGGCUGUUCUCGAACUCCUGACCUCAGGUGCUAGGAUUAUAGGCGUGAGCCACCACGCCCGGACUA